GACGAACGCUGGCGGCGUGCUUAACACAUGCAAGUCGAACGAUGAAGCUGGAGCUUGCUCCAGUGGAUGAGUGGCGAACGGGUGAGUAACUCGUGAGCAAUCUGCGCUUGACUCAGGGAUAACUGCGCGAAACCUUAGCGAAUACCGGGUACGACACCUGGGGGCAUCCCGGGGUGUGGAAAGAAUUUCGGUAAAGGAUGAGCGCGCGGCCGAUCAGCUUGUUGGUGAGGUAAAGGCUCACCAAGGCGACGACGGGUAGCCGGCCUGAGAGGGUGACCGGCCACACUGGAUCUGAGACACGGUCCAGACUCAUACGGGAGGCAGCAGUGGGGAAUAUUGCACAAUGGGAGAAAGCCUGAUGCAACAACGCCGCGUGAGGGAUGACGGCCUUCGGGUCGUAAACCUCUUUUAGCAGGGAAGAAGCGAAAGUGACGGUACCUGCAGAAAAAGCACCGGCUAACUACGUGCCAGCCGCCGCGGUAA
rnacentral:rRNA from 1 species